GAGGGUCUGGGGCCAGACACAAAGGGGCUGCUCCCCAAUAUAUCUGUUAAAUGCAUGAGUGGGUGGGUGAUCAAAGUCAGCAACUCCUCAGGCCGGCUGGACCGAGGGAAGCAAGGACCCCUUCCUGAAGGCCGAGUUCCAACUCUUAACCACUGCGAGGACAGUCAAGUCAAGUCACCAAGACAGGACGGUCGGGCCCUGGGCCAAGCAUCCGCACACGCAUAGCCGCCCAGGCCAAGCCGCUCCGGAAGCGUGAUUCGCGUCUGUGGGACGGGAAGAAGCUUGGAGCUGGCGUGAGACCUGUGGCCGUUCCUUAACUCACAGGUGAUGUCCAACGGCACGGCACGUAGCUUGGUUCUGGAAAAGCUUCCGUUUUCCCAGGGGAUGGAAUGGAGGCCCAGAGGAGGUGGGUAGACUGAGGCCCCCAGGCCCUGGCCCCAUGGCCUCAGGCUUGGGGCAGAACCUGGCGUCCGUCUGUCCG